GACAGGGAAGACAAACACCAUAACUCCAAAUAUCCCCCUUCCUCCUUCUUCCCCUAGCUUUGUAUUCAGACCAUGAUAUCAUAGGGUAUGGAAUAUCCCUUUAGUCAGUUUGGGUCACCUGUUCCAGCUGUGUCUCCUCCCAGCUUCCUUGCCAGCAAGGCAGUAUGUGUAAGCCCUGCUUAGCAAUAACAAAAACAUCUCUACGUUAUCAAGCCUGUGUUCAGCACAAAUCCAAAACACAGCCCUGUACUAGCCACUGUGAAGAAAAUUAGCUCUCCCUCAACCAAAACCAGCACCCAUCCUCAUUAAUGUGAAGUGUGGGCUCUGUUAAUUGCUCUGCACAGUGUGUUUUGUUUCCCAUGAGGUUGCAGAUGUACUCUGCAGGUAUUGCUGGUGUAAACUGUUAAAGAUUCCAUAAGCAGAUUUCAUCUUCGAAUCAGCAGUACUCAUACCCAUGAAGAAGGUACUUAAAAACCCUUGUCUCUGUUUAAACAGCUGUCUUCUAACUUGCUGAUUUUUGGCUCCUGAAAAUCUCCAUUGAAAAGUAUAAUUUUCUCAGUAUCUUGGCAGGUCCCACUAGUUUGUCCACCAGGUUGCUGCUUUAUGACUCCAUUUUGCCCUUCUAUGCUGUAGAAAUAUGUAGUAAUAUUAGGAAUGUGACAGUUUGUGUGUUUCUUCUGAAUAUGUUUAUUGACUCUGCAAAAGUGGAAAGUGCAUAAAAAUUGCCUCUUACAGUGUGCUCUGCCAGGCUCUGUCUUGCCAUUCACAAGGCACAGGGUCAUCUGUCUCAGGAUAAAUUCUAGUAGGCUAAAAUUUUUAAUUGGGGAUAACAAAAAUAUGUAAAUUACUACUGUAGAAAUAUAGUUUAAGAACCUGAAUUGAAUAUGGAACUAUUUUUUUAAAUCCAAAAAGGAGAAAAAUUAAAGGAACCUGGACAUACUUCUAAUAAGUUAAAUGCCAAGCAUGCUGAUACUGGUGGGACUGAGAAGCAAGUAAAUUCACUUCUGACCCUGCUCAAUCACUGAUAACUUAGAUAAUUAGACCUUUAUGUACUUAGAGCAAAUAAGGCUAAGUGCACAGAGCUGGCCAAAGGCUUCGUGGCAAAGUAGGCAAAAGAAACUGCAGCAGAAGAGGGAAGAAAGGCCAGAAAAGAUCUUACAGAAGGAGGAAGAUGUGAUGGUCAGUUGGACAUUACCAGGCUAUACGUCACCUCAUGGUGCCACAGAAGGAUGUCUCUCAACCUUUGCAUUCACCAGCUUCUCGUAGCAGUCUUUCCUGUCCAUCUUGCAUGUUGGGCAAAGGUUUGAGCUCAUUCCUGUUGCAGCAAGUGUGAGGGAUGAGGCUGAAGAGCGCACACUUAGCUCUUGAUGUUUCAGCCAGCAGUGACGCAAGGGGGAUAGCAAUGGUUGCUGCUAGAAGUCCCUUUCUUCUGUCAGCUGAACACAGUAGCUGUCCCUCAGUUCUCCAGAACAGAGAAAACUGAAAGACUUGAUCUAGACAGCCCCCUUCUUUGAAUUGCACUGUGAUCUGGAGCUGAGUGAAAUAUCAGUCAAGGUAUCUGAACACACUGCUCUGACUGAAAGUUGUCAAGCUUUCAAGCUUGGGCACAAGCUUACCACCACAAGCUGGGACAGUGCCACUCUUUCCUAAUAAAUCCUCAAACCCUGUCUCAUUUAGUCUUUGACUGUGUGACAUCAGUCUUACACUGGCAGAAAGCAGUCAAGAAGAAAAGUGAAAGAAGGCCAUGCAGCUACUGCAAAGCCAAGCUGACUUAUCAGGCAGUAGUAAAUUUUAUUUGGAUGGUGAGAGGAUACUCACACUCAGUGAGAAAAUGAAGUAUUGUUUCUGUACUAAUGGCAGAAAGCAGUGCAAGGCAGUGACUAGAGAUAGAACAGAGUUUGUGCUCACAUAUUGUGCCAGGUUUGAAAAGAAAUCUGAAAUAUCACCUCAGUAAUUUUAGCAAGGUUUGAACCCAGGAAAAGAAACAUAAGCAGAAAUGUAGCUUUUUAUCUUUUCUUACCGGUUAAGAUUUUAUGUGUAGUCAUAGAACCAUUCUCUGACAUUAUGCUAAAAAUUCCUGAAAUCUCCACCAUGAUUGAUGCAAAGUGACUGCAAUGUCUUCUGUAAAGGACUUCUCAGCACAAAGCCCUCUACCUUCUAGGCAGAGUUCGUCUACAUAGUCAACUGCUCAGCAAUCUGCUCAGCUGAAAAAGCACUUUUGAAAUGAGGAACUACUCCAUCAAAUACAGAGACAGAAAUGUUCUAAGCAUUGUGUAACAGCAUCAGAAAUGUAAAAAGCCACUCAGUCCUCAAUAAGUUAUUUUUCAAAAUAGAAAUUUCAGAAGGUGGGUAGAAACAUACAUAUUUCCUUAAUUCAGGAGAUCUAUUUAUAGCUAAAACUACCGAUUUGCUUUCUCUGUAAAAAUUGGAUACAGACCGCUAAAAGAAAAAGGUUAAGUGAUGUUGUAUAGAUCUUUUAUUAUAUGUUCUCUGGAAGAUGGCUGAGGAUGCUUCUUCCAAGAAGUGCUUGCUUUUAUGCAAAUCAGUGAAAUAAUUUACUUUCAUACAAAAGUGGACUUUUUAUUAAUCAAGGAUAUAAGAAAUACUUACAAAUCAAAAAACUUCAUGGAAUUUUUAGUCUGUCUCCAGCCUGAAUGUUUGAACCAUGCACACUGCUGAAAGGAGUCUUGGAACUCCUGGAAUAGCACCUGGGCUUGAGCACAUGUGUGUGAUGAACUGUGUAAAAGAGGCUCAGGCAUUCCAUUGCUGUUAACCAGAUAGGGCCCAGCAAGAGUGCCUGUAUUACAUCAAAAUAUGCAUGUAUAGCUCAUGGCAUAAAUAUGCAUGUGCAUUUGCAGCAAAACACUAGGCAUGUUCACAGGCAUGCAUGUACUUAUAGAUAGAAAGCUGUGAACCUUCCUUAAUCAUUAACUGUGCUUUUAACAUGUCUCUUUUCAUUUGCCCAACGUAGCAAAGGCAAAGUGGAGUGACUUAAAGUGACUGAGGCAAGUGCAGAGAUACCAGAUAGCUAAAUUGAGGCAUUAAGAAAACCAAAAGUGUUAGCAAUCAUUGUUUUAUGGCUUCUGUGGCUGUUUGAUACUGUCCUUGGGAAAAAAGUGCAGUUGGACCAAGGUAUGUGCUAAGCAGAACACUGAUUUUCACAGACAUAGCUAUAUUUUGUGAGACACUAUUUUUUCUGGUUUGCCGUGGUUAGAAAAAUGUGUGACAACCUAGCGCAGAAGAGAAAAGAAACACCCAAAUGCCUUUAUUUCCUUUUGCACUGUGAGCAGUUUACUAUCGAUUGCAGGCCACCACAUAUACUUUUGCCUUGCUGCCCUGCUGAGGUAUCUCUUGGAUUAAAUCUGGCAGAUAUUCAGCCUCUCCAUUGAGGCUGCUCAUUGAAUGGAAAGAGGAAGAAGAGUAUUUUCCAGUAUUGAUAAAGAUAUGAUGUUUUUGAGAGGAACACCUACAGACUCAGGUUUUUCUGUAGGAUUUUUUUUCUUACAAUCUUCUGCCAGUUGGAUUUUUUCUUUGUCUAAAUGAAAUUACUGUGUGUAAAAGAGAGCUGUAACAAAACAACUGUGUUUUGCUGCAAAAGGAUCAUACUAUCUGCGAAGUCAAAAUGCCAUUUUCUUAAUUAGCUCACUUGUAAAACUACUUAACUAAGAACUUGUCUGAUUCUACACAGAAAUGAAGACUAGCAGUAUCUUUAUCUUAUCUCCAGUGUCAGAGAGGUCAAAGCACAGCAAUUCUUCAUCAUGCUCAGUGAAAUGCUGCAGUAGGGAGAGCGUGGUGUAGUUGGCAUGUACCUCAGUAUGUAAUUGCUAUUACCACAACAUAUCCCUACCUGUGGUUUGUGCUGCAGAACAUGUGUUGGGAAGAGGCACCUCUGAAAUAGUGCAAAUUGCAAGUGUGAGUUAUCAACAGCAGGAAUGAAUGGAGGCAGCAGGUUGCAAAACUACCAAGUAUCCCCUUUGCGUACUCCUUAACUUCUGACCUGUGUUUUUGAAAAUUAAAUAAAGACAUCAUUGUUUGUGGCUGUGAUGCCAGCAUUCAGGACGGAACUGGUGGUGGAGAUCUCCUGUUUGCAGUCAGCCUGAAGCUUUGGCAUUUGGAAUUGUUUUCCAGCCAUCUCUUCAGGAUGACAAUGAUACACAGCGUUAUUAGCAUGCAAAUACCAGCUAAAGCUCCUAGGAAAGACAAAGAAAUGUCAAGAUUAUUAAUAGUGGUGCACUGGCUCCCAAAACUUAGUGAAGCUUUGGAGGGUGCCAUCACAUUCCUUGUUUUUCCUGAUUCCCACUGCCUCCCACCUGGUGCUGUGAGAAUGCCUGGAUGCAGCUGCCCCGGGAAUCCACACUUGUCUCGCAUGCAACUCCUCUACAAUGCUCCUGCAGCUUACAUUAUUAAAGAUGAGCUGUGAGGGUAACACCUUCUUUGGAAGGGUACCUGUGCUGCUUUCUUCUUUCCUUUUGGUACAGAAGUCACUAGUUCACUGGUGGCAGUGUGUUCUUCCAGCUAAAAUAACCAUUUUUCUGCCCUUUGUGGUCAAGAGUCUUCUCUGGGAGGAGAUCUAAGUUGCAUUAAGAGCUUGACACAGGGAAGUUUGCAUCAUCAAAACGUCAUGCAAAUGAAGCGCUACAAUGACAGGCUGCUGGGACUCUCCUUGUCCUCCAGGAACUCAAGGUGUUUCUUAGCGUUUCAAGGUACUAUGGAAUCAAAUUUGCUGGAUUUUGCUUACUACAAUACAGACAGCAUUGAAGACUGUAAGGACUUCACCUGAUGAGGAAGGGCAGAGGAGGAGAGAGACACAGUGGCUCGGCAGCAGGGAAUCCUUCUGCCUUGCAGCAGUGGGAUUAAGGCUUCAUAAAUCAGGGAGGGACCCUUGUGCCAGCAGUCUGGCACAGGUCCCCUGCAAAGUUAAGAAAUUUCUUGAGUCAAAAAGGAUGGAAGCAGAUGACUUUUUUUAUUUUUUUAUUUUUUGAUUUUAUUUCACCUUGUGUAUGAGGAAUCAAAAUGGAGACAGUAGUAGCGUCACCAUGGAUAUAGGAAAUGGGGGAAAUGCUUCUACGGGAGCCUUACUGUAGAGGCUCACGGAGUCCUCAGCCCCAAAGGGUGUUCUUGUAAAGUGUGCGGGGGUGAGGCCCUGUGAUUACUUUGUCCUCUCUCGUUCCUGGGAGGAUUUUACAGCUGCAAGGUUUGGAGUUAUUGGUGUUCUUGUUUCUUAUCAAGCAACAAUAUGUUGAAAUAGGAUUAAACUGUUCCUGUGAAGAUAGGAGUUCACUGUGUAUGCAGCUGUGCAAAGUGAAAUUUUGCCAGGCAUAUUAAUCCCUUUAAUAUUAUAAAAGAUUGUCACAGAGUACAGAGAACUUAUGAUUAGGCUAACUAUAGUCGUGCUUUUCAGCCAAUUUUCAUCCUUGUUAUGCUGUUGGAAACUUAAAAAUCAGAGUGUCUUUGAAGCAGUGUAUUUUAUAGUAUCACAGCCCAUCAAACCAGAUUGAUACCUAAGCAUGUGCUCAUGCUCAACCUCUUCCUCUGAGUAGCUUCACUGCUGUCAAGGAGACUGGAAAUGUACUUUAUGUGUGACUGUCAGCCAAAUGUUAAGCAUACAUAAGACACUGCAUGUUUUCUAGCUGUUGGUGCCAUUAGUUAGUCUUUCACAGAAUAAUCUAGGCUGGAUGGGACCUCAUGAUGUCUCUUGUCCAACUUCUGUCUGAAAGCAUGGCCAGCUAUGAAGCCAGGUCAGGUUUCCUCAACACUUUAUCCAGUUGGGUAUUGAAAAUCUUGAUCAUAAAUGUUUCUUACAGAA